AACCCUAACUAUAGAAUGAAGAACAACUCUAGGGUUUGAAACAUUACCUUUGGGUUCCAGACGGCGGCGAAGAAGAGGUAGACACGGCGGAGAGGAUGAACAGGCGUCGCUGAAGAAGCUCCAGAUACACGGCGACGAAGAACAGGCGUGGAUGAGAAGCUCCAGACGGCGGCGAAGAAGAUGAAGACACGACGGCAAGGAAAUGCUGAAGAAGUUCGAGCCGGCGGCGACCAGCUUCGGUAGUCGUCGGAUCGAGAGAGAAUAGGCGAAGAAGAAAGAAAU
rnacentral:sRNA from 1 species